ensembl:lncRNA
CUGAACCUCAAUUUCCCGUCUGCAAAGCCCUGUGAUGGUAAAUAAGCCCUUCAUAGCAUUUUUACAGAGGCAAGAGUAAGGCAUGAAAGGAAACGUGCUUUGAAAACUGCAAAUAAGCUAUAUAAGUUCAAGCUCUCACUACUAAGAAGUAGCUGGUUAUAAGGACUGCUUGAUGUGAAAGAAGAUUGAAGUGGAGACGGAACAGGCAUCUCGCCGUUUGUUUAGAACAAUAUUGCUGUGAGGUGUUUACUUAUCUGAGGUCACAGAUCCCUGUGAGAAUAUGAUUAUAGACAUCCUCUUUCUGAACAUCACCCACGUGUAUAUAAAAAAAAAGGAACACUUUGAAGACAAUUUCUGGUUAGUACAAAUGAGGUUAAGAGACUCACCAUCUCUUUUAAUUUGCUUCUUUCUUGACCUUUCUCUCUCCAUUGCUUGAACGGGAGCUUCAUGAGUUCGCGGACUUUGCCCUGCUCUCUGCUGCAUCGGCACCAGCACCAGCUCACAGGGGGCCCCAGUGCUGUGCGGACCCGAGCGGGUUCUGAUGUGCGCGGCGCAGAGCCAGCCUCACGGUGCCAAGGAGACAAAUAACGCCGGACCCCAGGCUGAGCCGUCUGGGGGAGGAAGGCCACGGGCGGAUAAGCACACGACUGUUGAGGAAGUGUUGACAGGACACAGGCCAGAAGCAGAGCAGGCUGCACCUCAGGCAUUUUGCAGAGGAAAGAACAGGAGGCCGCCUUUGAGCAGGGCCUGAUGUGGAUCUCAGUGGUAGAAGGAGUCAGAGAAUGAGCUUAAGAACUACAGCGUGGCUCAGGAAAAGUGUGGAGACAUAAGCAACAGGUCAGAAGUUGAAAAACAGCUGCUUUUAGCUACUAACUCAUACAUGCUUUGUUGAACCCUCCUGAUGUUUUUAAAACUGGGAGGUUUCACUUAAAGACAACAACCUCUGCCUUCUCUUGCAGAGGACGGUGUGCACGACUGACUCCCAAGCUGGAGUGGAGCCAGCAGCCAGUCCCUCUUGGUGAAAAAUGGAGCUGAUUCAGAGCCAAACAGCAUGAGAAGAGGCGCGUUCUCUUCAGUUACCAGAGCUGAGAAGCCUGCGUGCUGUGGGUCCGUCAGAGUCCCGAAACUGUCAGUUUCCCGCUAUCCAGGGUGGCCAGAGUGGACCGUCCUCGUUUAUUCUCAGUUAUGUGCCUGUCUUCACGCCCUCCACUGAGUAGCUGAGGACACGGACCCUACUGCCUUCCUCUGUACGUGACUUGACAUAUAGAUGCCCAAUAUUUUUACUGAAAAAUAUAUGUGAAUAAAUACAGUAGAUUAAAUAAGUGCCCCCUAUACAGCUGGCAUGCUAUCAGGCAUAGGAUGACUAGACAGGUUGGAUUUCCCCUGUCUAGGGGAGCUUAACAGUGGUCUAUGGAAGUGUCAUGGAGCUGAAUACUGAGAAAGUCUCUUCUCAACAACGAUACGAAUAGAAAGGUGAAUUUACCAGUAAAAAUGAGUUCUCCAUUCUCUGAGCAAAAAUAAAAAGCCAUUGGAGACAACUAAUUGCUCUGGAAAAGCAGCGUCUAUAGAGCCAAGCAAAGGGAUUAAGGUUGUUAUGCCCAGAGUCCGAGUCCCCAAAACUGAGAGAAUAAGAC